AACAUCUUCACCACAGUCUUAUUAGGAUUAAAUAAGGUCAAAGUUGUUGCAGCAGCAGUAGCAGGAGAAAGGGCUAAGUUCUAUAUGUAUGUGAGAGAAUGAUUAUUGCAAUUGUAGGCUAUAAAACACAUACCACUUGUAUUGUUCCUGAAGGAGGUACUCGAUAACCCCUUUUACCAAGGGACUCUAAAGUAAUCACACCCUUGAAAUAAAAGAAGACAAAUUGAGUACAAACUGAUGCAUAUGUACAUAAAAGACUAAAAUAAGAAUAACUCAUGUAAUUUAUUAAAAUUUCAGAAUUCUAUUUCUAUGGAAAAACAUUCAUAUUGAAUUAAUAGAGAUACAUUCUAUGUUUCUACCCCUAAGGAAACAUUUUACUGUUCCUCCUGGUGAUGUCGCUAUAAAGAAUAUAUAACAUCAAUGGCCACAGCACUCAAAAUUACUAUUAAGAUAUAGGAAUAAAAGAAAGAAGUUCCUAACUAAAAAGGAAAUAAAGGAAGGUAAUAGGACCCUUCCCAUGUAUCUUGAGGGAGAGGGGAAAUGAAGAAGCAAGUAAUUUAUUGGUCUUCGGGCAUGUAAAAAGUCACAAGUGUAGGAAAGUAAGCCUUGGCCAAAAAUAAAGUCAAUUCUUCAGU
ensembl:lncRNA novel transcript, antisense to KIAA1370